rnacentral:rRNA from 1 species
UACGUAGGUGGCAAGCGUUGUCCGGAUUUACUGGGCGUAAAGGGCGUGCAGGCGGUUGGUUAAGUCUAGUGUGAAAGCUCCCGGCUCAACUGGGAGAGGUCCUUGGAUACUGGCAGACUUGAGGAGGGUAGAGGAGAGUGGAAUUCCCGGUGUAGUGGUGAUAUGCGUAGAUAUCGGGAGGAACACCAGUGGCGAAGGCGGCUCUCUGGGCCCUACCUGACGCUGAGACGCGAAAGCGUGGGGAGCGAACCGG